GAUGAAGAACGUAGCGAAAUGCGAUAAGUAAUGUGAAUUGCAGAAUUCAGUGAAUCAUCGAAUCUUUGAACGCACAUUGCGCCCCCCAGUAUUCUGGCGGGCAUGCCUGUUCGAGCGUCAUUUCAACCAUCAAGCCCUGCUUGUGUUGGGGUCCUGCGGCUGCCCGCAGGCCCUGAAAACCAGUGGCGGGCUCGCUAGUCACACCGAGCGCAGUAGCACAUCUCGCUCAGGGCGUGCGGCGGGCUCCAGCCGUUAAAGCACCCACCUUUCGCAAGGUUGACCUCGGAUCAGGUAGGAAUACCCGCUGAACUUAAGCAUAUCAAUAAGCGGAGG
rnacentral:misc_RNA from 1 species